UACGGGGGGGGCUAGCGUUGCUCGGAAUCACUGGGCGUAGAGGGUGCGUAGGCGGGUCUUUAAGUCAGGGGUGAAAUCCUGGAGCUCAACUCCAGAACUGCCUUUGAUACUGAAGAUCUUGAGUUCGGGAGAGGUGAGUGGAACUGCGAGUGUAGAGGUGAAAUUCGUAGAUAUUCGCAAGAACACCAGUGGCGAAGGCGGCUCACUGGCUCGAUACUGACGCUGAGGCACGAAAGCGUGGGGAGCAAACAGG
rnacentral:rRNA from 1 species